GGUGUCGUUUUUCACCUUGGUGACGUCAAGAACUUGCUGCGCAACCUGUCUCGCUCUCUUUUCUGACGGGGCCUGAACGCGAGCGGUCGUAUUCUUCGGCUGUUGUAAAGAGGUGCUUCGGGAGAAAGAGAGAGUCGUUCUACGCAACCUCGAGCACUGCUCCUGGCUAACGUAGCUGUUAGCUUUCCGUACCGCCGGGAUUUCGCCGACCGUAUAACGUCGUCGGAGUCUCGUUCAACAUUCUUCUGGCCGCGUCUUUUGCGGAGUUCUGAUUGAGGACAGCGCUGGGAUUCUUGUGCCUUCAGUGGAGUGGAUUCCAUUAUGGUGCCUUGACUUCCGAAAGUGCUGGAAAAGGGGUACAGUGGUGGUGGCGAGCCAACCAAAGAAUAUAUAUUACAUUUGAUAAACGUUUUAUUUUA